GUACCACGCCGUAAACGAUAGAGUGGCUAAUUUGUAGGGGGUUUCCGCCCCUUAGUGCUGCAGCUAACGCAUUAAGCACUCCGCCUGGGGAGUACGGUCGCAAGACUGAAACUCAAAGGAAUUGACGGGGGCCCGCACAAGCGGUGGAGCAUGUGGUUUAAUUCGAAGCAACGCGAAGAACCUUACCAGGUCUUGACAUCCUCUGACAAUCCUAGAGAUAGGACGUCCCCUUCGGGGGCAGAGUGACAGGUGGUGCAUGGUUGUCGUCAGCUCGUGUCGUGAGAUGUUGGGUUAAGUCCCGCAACGAGCGCAACCCUUGAUCUUAGUUGCCAGCAUUCAGUUGGGCACUCUAAGGUGACUGCCGGUGACAAACCGGAGGAAGGUGGGGAUGACGUCAAAUCAUCAUGCCCCUUAUGACCUGGGCUACACACGUGCUACAAUGGACAGAACAAAGGGCAGCGAAACCGCGAGGUUAAACCAAUCCCACAAAUCUGUUCUCAGUUCGGAUCGCAGUCUGCAACUCGACUGCGUGAAGCUGGAAUCGCUAGUAAUCGCGGAUCACAUGCCGCGGUGAAUACGUUCCCCGGGG
rnacentral:rRNA from 1 species